ACUACGAGCUAUUAAAAGGUCUUUUAGUGCAAAACUUAUCAUGUUGGAGCUUCUUUGUACAUAUAUAGAGAGGAUGCAACUCAGCUGGGGAGAGAGUCCUCUGAGAGGAUUACUAGUUUGUACAAGACAGCUAUGAUAGCAGUGAGAGACAGUAAUGUCCUCAAAAGAUUCCUGAUGUUAAGUACUUAGGGCAUCCUGCCUCUUUGCUGUGUCCUGGGAAAAAUAAAAUCCAGGGUCCAAGCACAGCUCCAGCUGAUCAUAUGACAAGGCAAUAUAACAUGUAGACCAGGUGUUGAGUUUGCUGGCUAGAUGCUAUAUCUCCUGAGCUGUGAAGAUGGAAUUGGACCAAAUUUGUAUGCCCAGCAGCAUUUAGUGAGGUGACAUCAGGCUUCUGAGAUCUCAGCACAGCAGAGCUGACCGGUGAAUCAGGAAAGAGCUGCAGUACAGAAAGGCACCUGUACAACUGCUGAUCUGUAAUGAACAAAAGACAGAUCCAUACAAACGUAACUACUGUACAUCUGAGGCUAAAUUAAUGUCAGAACAUGUUAGUCACAUUGCUGUUGCAUCAUUGUAAUAAAUUACAUAUUGCAGAUCCUUUUGCCUCAAUUGUUUUGCAUUAGUAUAAGCUGCCUGUUUUUACAGGCUCUGGAAUAUGUUUCCUAGAGAAGCACGUUGUCAGAGGAAUGUGGUGGAGUUACAGACUUUCCCCAGAAUCACCUAGUAGCAGUCUCCACACUGUCCUCAAAGCAGAGAACUCUUGCAAGUUUCAUGUCAGAGACUUCUUUAAUAAUCAAAGAGAGUGAGGUCUAUACAGAGAGGUUCAGCUGCUCUGUGCCACCUGGCUGUGCCAUGCCUCUCCUUUCUGCCCUGCUACAGCUGGAGAGAGAGACCCUGCAGCUGCAGUGUGACUGUGCCUUGCUGUGCUGGGACAGUCUUUACCAGCAGAAUCUUCUUCCAAGCCUUCCAAGUUUCUCUGACUACAAGCAACCUUUGGGGAGAGAGUUACUAUCCACAGCAGAGGAAGAUCAAAUUAGGAAAUACUCAAGUAAGCUGGCCAUAUACAAAUCCAUAGAAUCUUAAAAACAUGGAGUCAUUAAAAACACAGAGUCAUUAAAGCUGGAAAAGACCUCUGAGGUCAUCUAGUCCAACCAUCACCCUACUGCCAAUAUUGUCCACUAAACCACAUCCCUAAGUACUACAUCUAUCCUUUCGUUAAACACCUCUAGGGAUGGUGACUUCACCACUUCCCUUGGCAAUGUGUUCCAUGAACCCUUGAACCCAUGGAACAAGCAGCAACAUUUGAAUGCAAACAACAAUCAUGAAGUUCUGCACUUGGCACAGAACCCCCCUAUGCAUUGGUACCACCUGGGUAUUGG
rnacentral:lncRNA from 1 species